GGUCCACCUCCUCCUCUGAGGGCUGUGGUGUCAUCUGCACCUGGAUGGGCUUCCCCACUGCAAGGGACAGAGGAGGACAGUGGUCUAGAAGGGAAGAACCAGGAAGACUCUUCUAAAACUUCUGAAUCUGUGUGGUUGUGCAAGCAGUGCCCUCUCCUCUUGGAAAUCUCACUGGAGGCAGCAGCAGCAGCAACAAUGUUCAAAUACAUGAGGACUGAUAUCACCAUACGAACCAGCCUCACUCUACCAUCUGGAUCACAAUUAACCCCUCCUUCUCUGGCCUAACGAAGGUCAGAUAGACUCCGGUUACAGCCUCAGCUCUGUCCCUCAAAGGCAAUGCGAGCUUUGGGAAUUUUU